rnacentral:rRNA from 1 species
AGUUUGAUCCUGGCUCGAAUGAACGCUGGCGGCAGGCCUAACACAUGCAAGUCGAACGGAGUUAUAUUGUAGCUUGCUAUGGUAUAACUUAGUGGCAGACGGGUGAGUAAUGUAUAGGAAUCUACCUAGUAGUACGGAAUAAUUGUUGGAAACGGCAACUAAUACCGUAUACGCCCUACGGGGGAAAAAUUUAUUGCUAUUAGAUGAGCCUAUAUUAGAUUAGCUAGUUGGUGGAGUAAUAGCCUACCAAGGCAAUGAUCUAUAGCUGAUCUGAGAGGAUGAUCAGCCACACUGGAACUGAGAUACGGUCCAGACUCCUACGGGAGGCAGCAGUGGGGAAUAUUGGACAAUGGGCGAAAGCCUGAUCCAGCCAUGCCGCAUGAGUGAAGAAGGCCUUUGGGUUGUAAAGCUCUUUUAGUGAGGAAGAUAAUGACGGUACUCACAGAAGAAGUCCUGGCUAACUCCGUGCCAGCAGCCGCGGUAAUACGGAGAGGGCUAGCGUUAUUCGGAAUUAUUGGGCGUAAAGGGCGCGUAGGCGGAUUAGUAAGUUAAAAGUGAAAUCCCAAGGCUCAACCUUGGAAUUGCUUUUAAAACUGCUAAUCUAGAGAUUGAAAGAGGAUAGAGGAAUUCCUAGUGUAGAGGUGAAAUUCGUAAAUAUUAGGAGGAACACCAGUGGCGAAGGCGUCUAUCUGGUUCAAAUCUGACGCUGAGGCGCGAAGGCGUGGGGAGCAAACAGGAUUAGAUACCCUGGUAGUCCACGCUGUAAACGAUGAAUGUUAAAUAUGGGAAGUUUUACUCUCUGUAUUACAGCUAACGCGUUAAACAUUCCGCCUGGGGACUACG